UCCCUUAUAGCUCAGUUGGUAAAGAAUCUGCCUGCAAUGCAGGAGACCCGGGUUCGAUUCCUGGGUCAGGAA
rnacentral:tRNA from 1 species